CCAACCGGGACUAAAGAUCUCUUUUGUCCCGGGCACCAAAAAUACCGGGACUAAAGCUCAUUUGGCACAUCGACGAAAGGUCUGUUCUCUAGUAGUGUGACGCGGACUCUUGAGAUAAUAUGGAUAGCUAGAAGCCUAUUCUAAACUGAAUAUAAAUAGAAAUCAUGAUCAAAUGGAAAAGGAAAAACAAAAACAAAAAUAAGAUAAAUCUUACCCUGAAUAUUAAACCAUAUGACUCCUCCCUUUGGUUUUGUGGACGGUUGGUGUACAUUAUGUUUAUCGUGGGCUGGUUUGGCGGACGUAUAUGGCAACAAUUAUCUCAUGCUAUCUCUCUCUUGGAUUGUACAUUUCCUUUCCUAUUCCAACAUCAAUUACCUCAUGCUAUCUCUAGAAUGUACAUUUCCUUUCCUAUUCCAAUACGCGGUCUUUGAAUACUUAUAUAUACAAUUCCUUUCCUAUUCCAAUACACCAUCUUCAAAUACUUAAUUAUAUAUAAUGCAACUAUUGAAUUAACAAAAUUAUCGUGUCAUAUCUUUAUUGUUACAUCAUCUCAAAAAAUAUCUUUAGCAUUAUAUAGGAUGUUCCAAAUUUGCUUUUCUAUUAUUUUUUCCAUGCCACUUAUUUUUGGAUGGAUUUAUUUCCCUCACAUGAUGUUUCUAUGUUUUCCUUACGUAAUAUUUUCCUUUUAAUUUUCCAUGUUUUUUAUAAGAUUUUUUGUUCCUUCUUCCUCCACCGUAUAUGGUGCUAUCAGAUUCUGUAUGGGACAUGCUUUUUUUUGUUUUUCUCAAGGUGGUUUCCAAUAUUUGUUUGGUAGUUUUCUUUGGUUAGGUGAUUUUUAUUUGUUUUCUAUGGGAAUCAAUGUUUUUGUUUAGUUUUGUAAAUGUUUUUAAUGAAAUAGGUAAACUAGAAGUAAUGAGAUAAAUCUCAAACGUACUUAUGUAUGUUGAUGGUAGUUAACAUCCAUCAUGAGUCGUCAACAUAACUUGAAAUAAAUGCAUAAAUGAAAUCACCAGCAUAGAAUUAGGGUUUUUUUUUAACAAAUUCCACGAGUUUUGAUGAAUCAAUGUUUCACAAGGGUUAAACGGGAAAAAAGCCACAAAUAACCCACACGUCGACCUAAAAAGCAUAUUCCACGCGAGAUCCAACUUGAGGCGGAUCUAGAAGAUAUGAGAAGGCAAGCCACCAAAGGAGGGGCCCACCAGGCAUAGGGCCAAGUCAUUCGACCCCACCCCCAGGUCAGCCAACAUGUGGGUCCCCUGUCAGUCAUAGUCUUCGCAAGUCGGUUCUUCACCACCAUAAAAAUUACAUCUACACCCUUGAUUGAUGUCAAUUUGAUUCGAGGGCUCUGGUUCGUCGCUUUGGUCUAUAUAUAUAAACAACUUUGUACCCCUUGAGC
rnacentral:lncRNA from 1 species